GCGCGACCGCGCGCCUCUCUCGAGCACCUCCCGAUCCGAUCCGAUCCAGACCGGAUCGCUUCCCCUCCCCCUGGCAAAUCACCGCCCCCUCCACCCGGAUCCCUCGCUUCCGCGUCGCCGGUCUGCAUUCGCGCCGCCCCCGGUCAGCCCGUAUCGCCGGUCCCCAUCAUCGGCGGUGCCGCCCCCGGUCAGCCCGCAUCGCCGGUCCCCAUCAUCGGCGGCGCCGCCCCCGAUCCCCCUCGAUCUGCACUGCUCCCGACGAGUUUAACCCUUGCGCGGCUCUGCUGGAGUGUGAGUGCAAGAACAGCGCCGCCGCCGAGAACACGCUGCUCCGGGCGGGCUACGGUGGGUGGCUGCUCUACUCGGCGGCGUCGGCGGGGGACAUGGCGUUCGUGCAGGAGCUUAUGGACAGGGAUCCCUUGCUGGUGUUUGGCGAGGGCGAGCAUGGCGUGAUGGACAUGUUCUACGCCGCCGCGAGGGGCGGGAACGCCGAGGUGUUCAAGCUGCUGCUGGACCACGCCAUGUCGCCGAGGUGCUCGACGAAUUGUCCCAACGGGGAAGGCGCAGGAGCGGUGGUGGCUGCUCCUCGGUGUUCUGGCUGGAAAUGAUGAGUAGGGCAGUCCACGCCGCCGCGGGGGGCGGCAGCGUGGAGAUGCUGAGGGAGCUCAUCGAGCGUCGCUCCGACGUGUCGGAGUAUCUCGACUUCCGUGGAUCCACCGUGCUGUAUGCUGUUGCAGGUAGAGGGCAGCUAGAGUGUAUUAUGAAGGCAAAGAAUAAAUAUAAAGACCAUACUGAUUUGGCCUCUUUCACAUGGACUUCAAGUUGUGAAAUUCAUGACCGGAUUUUCUUUAGUAAUUUUAGUUAGAAGCAACCCAGCGCUUCCGACUGAGAUGGUUGUGCGACGACUGGUAGCGCCCAGCAGUUGAGUUCUUGCUGGACAACUGUGGGCGAAGCGGCAAAAUGGCUCACGAAGGCCAGCGGCGGCUGGAAAUUGACGAUGAAGAAGCGGUCAGUGGAAUUUCUCUUCUCCAUAGCCACUUAGCCUCUCCUUUCAAGAUAACUCUGUAUGCUUGAUGCCCCUCUAAUAAUAGCUUAGGAUUUUUUGAGGCAUCGAUAGCUGCAAUCAGUGCUCAUGUCAUCAUUCAAUGACCUGUAACAAUUUCGAAAGAACUAUGUUGGGCACCAGAUGAACCCAGGCAGAUGUUCUUUGGAUCGGUUUUUGUACACCACAAGGUUCUAUCUGCAGGAAAUUUAACAAAAAAUAAACUGGCCAACUAUAUUCGCUAUGCAAUGGAGUUUAUGGUGAAAGCUCAGUUGCUUUUUGUUCCAUGUAAUAUCCUUGAAUUGUAGUCUGAAACCAACUUCUUAAUAUAAUGGCAGAGCUCCAACCUUCAGAAAAA